rnacentral:rRNA from 1 species
CGUGAUCUGAUCAGAGAAGCAAUGUCAGGUCAGUUUCUAUCUAGUAAGGAGAGUUUACUCUAGUACGAAAGGAUUGAAAAACCGCGGCCAAUGUUUUAUACAAGCCACCACUAUUAAUUUAUGUAUUAAACUUAAUUUACUAUUAGUCCAACACCCAACCUAAGAANNNNNNN